AGAGUUUGAUCCUGGCUCAGGAUGAACGCUGGCGGCGUGCUUAACACAUGCAAGUCGAACGAUCCUUCGGGAUAGUGGCGGACGGGUGAGUAACGCGUGGGAAUCUGCCCUCAGGAGGGGGAUAACGGCUGGAAACGGCCGCUAAUACCCCAUAUGCCGAGAGGUGAAAUGAAUUUCGCCUGAGGAUGAGCCCGCGUCUGAUUAGCUAGUUGGUGGGGUAAAGGCCUACCAAGGCAACGAUCAGUAGCUGGUCUGAGAGGAUGAUCAGCCACACUGGGACUGAGACACGGCCCAGACUCCUACGGGAGGCAGCAGUGGGGAAUUUUCCGCAAUGGGCGAAAGCCUGACGGAGCAACGCCGCGUGAGGGAUGAAGGCCUCUGGGCUGUAAACCUCUUUUCUCAAGGAAGAAGACCUGACGGUACUUGAGGAAUAAGCCACGGCUAAUUCCGUGCCAGCAGCCGCGGUAAUACGGGAGUGGCAAGCGUUAUCCGGAAUUAUUGGGCGUAAAGCGUCCGCAGGCGGCCUUGUAAGUCUGUUGUUAAAGCGUGGAGCUCAACUCCAUUUAAGCAAUGGAAACUACAAGGCUGGAGUGUGGUAGGGGCAGAGGGAAUUCCCGGUGUAGCGGUGAAAUGCGUAGAUAUCGGGAAGAACACCAGUGGCGAAGGCGCUCUGCUGGGCCAUAACUGACGCUCAUGGACGAAAGCCAGGGGAGCGAAAGGGAUUAAUACCCCUGUAGUCCUGGCCGUAAACGAUGAACACUAGGUGUCGGGGGAAUCGACCCCCUCGGUGUCGUAGCCAACGCGUUAAGUGUUCCGCCUGGGGAGUACGCACGCAAGUGUGAAACUCAAAGGAAUUGACGGGGGCCCGCACAAGCGGUGGAGUAUGUGGUUUAAUUCGAUGCAACGCGAAGAACCUUACCAGGGUUUGACAUCCUGCGAACCCCUGAGAAAUCGGGGGGUGCCUUCGGGAGCGCAGAGACAGGUGGUGCAUGGCUGUCGUCAGCUCGUGUCGUGAGAUGUUGGGUUAAGUCCCGCAACGAGCGCAACCCACGUCUUUAGUUGCCAGCAUUCAGUUGGGCACUCUAGAGAGACCGCCGGUGAUAAACCGGAGGAAGGUGUGGAUGACGUCAAGUCAUCAUGCCCCUUACAUCCUGGGCUACACACGUACUACAAUGCUACGGACAAAGGGCAGCAAGCUCGCGAGAGUUAGCAAAUCCCAUAAACCGUGGCUCAGUUCAGAUCGUAGGCUGCAACUCGCCUACGUGAAGGAGGAAUCGCUAGUAAUCGCAGGUCAGCAUACUGCGGUGAAUACGUUCCCGGGCCUUGUACACACCGCCCGUCACACCAUGGAAGUUGGCCAUGCCCGAAGUCGUUACUCCA
rnacentral:rRNA from 1 species